AAGACCAACGAGCCACCACAGCCACCAGUCCCAGAACCCGCCAAUGCUGGGGAACGGAAAAUGAGGGAGUUCAACUCUGAGAAAUGGAAUAAUCGUAUCGCUGAUCUACGUAAACAAAUUGAAGAAUUGUCUGAAAGAAAGUAUGACAUGAACUUAUGAAUUCAACAGGUGAAGAUUUACAACUUGAUAAAUCAGCUUCGUGAGCUCGAGCUGUAAAAGCCAAAGGUCCGGUGAUGAUCCCAUACCCUUUUUUCCAGUCUCAUGUUGAAGAUUUUUAUGUAGAAGGCCUUCCCAAAGGAAGGCUUUCUACUAAUGGAAUUCCUGGCCUUGAGAGGAUAUUACUUUCGAAGGAAAGGAUUUUUUUGUUAUUAAAAGGUAAGAUUCUU
rnacentral:lncRNA from 1 species